UACGUAGGGGGGCAAGCGUUGUCCGGAUUUAUUGGGCGUAAAGAGCGUGUAGGCGGUUUGGUAGGUCCGCUGUGAAAACUCGAGCUCAACCUCGAGACGCCGGUGGAAACCAUCAGACUAGAGUCCGGAAGAGGAGAGUGGAAUUCCUGGUGUAGCGGUGAAAUGCGCAGAUAUCAGGAGGAACACCAAUGGCGAAGGCAGCUCGCUGGGACGGUACUGACGCUGGAGACGCGAAAGCGUGGGGAGCAAACAGG
rnacentral:rRNA from 1 species